UACGUAGGGUGCAAGGGUUGUCCGGAAUUAUUGGGCGUAAAGAGCUCGUAGGCGGUUUGUUGCGUCGGCUGUGAAAUCCCGAGGCUCAACCUCGGGUCUGCAGUCGAUACGAGCAAACUAGAGUGUUGCAGGGGAGACUGGAAUUCCUGGUGUAGCGGUGAAAUGCGCAGAUAUCAGGGGGAACACCGGUGGCGAAGGCGGGUCUCUGGGCCGAUAUCGACGCUGAGGAGCGAAAGCGUGGGGAGCGAACAGG
rnacentral:rRNA from 1 species